rnacentral:miRNA from 1 species
GGGCAGUGUAAUGUUAGCUGGA